rnacentral:lncRNA from 1 species
AGGUCACUUGUCUGAGAUACUAAUACAAAGAUAUGGAUGCUCAUUAGAGAAUGAGUUUACUGAAUUGAUUCGAUUUAAGAAACAUCUUAUGAAAUUAACUUAUCCGUCAAAAGAUAUUUUUUUAUAGUGAGAGUUGUGCAUGUAAUCCUUUGAUCUGAGACUAUCAUAGAACCUUGUAUACAUAAAUUCGUAUUUUAGUUCAUACUCAUUCAUGACUUAGUAAUGUAUGGAGUAUUCUAGAUAUGGUGGAAUGUAUAUGGAGAUUGUGAGUAGGUCAAUAUAGAAUCGGUCACUCCUGGUAAGAGG